GAUGAACGCUAGCGGCAGGCCUAAUACAUGCAAGUCGAACGGUGUCUUCGGACAUAGUGGCGCACGGGUGCGUAACACGUAUGCAACCUACCUUACAUUGGGGGAUAGCCUUUCGAAAGGGAGAUUAAUACCGCAUAAGACAGUAGCUGGGCAUCCAGCAGCUGUUAAAGAUUUAUCGAUGUAAGCUGGGCAUGCGUCCAAUUAGCUAGUUGGUGAGGUAACGGCUCACCAAGGCAAUGAUUGGUAGGGGAACUGAGAGGUCAAUCCCCCACACUGGCACUGAGAUACGGGCCAGACUCCUACGGGAGGCAGCAGUAGGGAAUAUUGGGUAAUGGACGCAAGUCUGACCCAGCCAUGCCGCGUGCAGGAUGAAGGCGUUAUGCGUUGUAAACUGCUUUUAUACAGGAAGAAACAACUCUUGCGAGAGGCAUUGACGGUACUGUAUGAAUAAGCACCGGCUAACUCCGUGCCAGCCGCCGCGGUAACAC
rnacentral:rRNA from 1 species